UGGGGAAUAUUGCGCAAUGGGGGAAACCCUGACGCAGCGACGCCGUGUGAGGGAAGAAGGCCUUCGGGUCGUAAACCUCUGUCAGAAGGGAAGAACCGUUUCAGGGUUAACAGCCCUGGAGCCUGACGGUACCUUCAGAGGAAGCGCCGGCUAACUCCGUGCCAGCAGCCGCGGUAAUACGGAGGGCGCGAGCGUUAAUCGGAAUCACUGGGCGUAAAGCGCGCGUAGGCGGUUUGGUAAGUCAAAUGUGAAAUCCCUCGGCUCAACCGGGGAACUGCAUUCGAUACUGCCUGACUGGAGUGCGGGAGAGGGUGGUAGAAUUCCCGGUGUAGGGGUGAAAUCCGUAGAGAUCGGGAGGAAUACCGGUGGCGAAGGCGACCACCUGGACCGCAACUGACGC
rnacentral:rRNA from 1 species